rnacentral:rRNA from 1 species
UGAGGGAUGACGGCCUUCGGGUUGUAAACCUCUUUCAGUCAGGAACAAGCCUUCGGGUGAGGGUACUGGCAGAAGAAGCACCGGCUAACUACGUGCCAGCAGCCGCGGUAAUACGUAGGGUGCGAGCGUUAUCCGGAAUUAUUGGGCGUAAAGAGCUUGUAGGCGGUUUGUCGCGUCUGCUGUGAAAGCCCGGGGCUUAACUCCGGGUCUGCAGUGGGUACGGGCAGGCUAGAGUGAUGUAGGGGUAACUGGAAUUCCUGGUGUAGCGGUGGAAUGCGCAGAUAUCAGGAAGAACACCGAUGGCGAAGGCAGGUUACUGGGCAUUUACUGACGCUGAGAAGCGAAAGCAUGGGGAGCGAACAGGAUUAGAUACCCUGGUAGUCCAUGCCGUAAACGUUGGGCACUAGGUGUGGGGAGCAUUCCACGUUUUCCGCGCCGUAGCUAACGCAUUAAGUGCCCCGCCUGGGGAGUACGGCCGCAAGGCUAAAACUCAAAUGAAUUGACGG